GGGCCGGUGACUCAACCACCUCCCUGGGGAGCCUAUUCCAGUGCUUAACAACCCCUUCUGAAAAGAAGUGUUUCCUAAUGUCCAACCUAAACUUACCUUGGCGCAACUUGAGGCCAUUUCCCCUCAUCCUGUCACCUAUCACCAGAGAGAAGAGACCUACUCUGAUCUCACUGUAAGCACCUUUCAGGUACUGGAAGAGAGUAACAACAUCUCCUCUCAGCCUCCUCUUCCCCAGACUAAACAGCCCCAGCUCCCUCAGCCUCUACUCAUAGGGCUGAUUUUCCAAGCCCUUCACAAGCCCUGUUGCCCUUCUUUGGACCUGCUCCAGCACCUCCACGUCCUUUCUGUACUGAGGUGCCCAAAACUGAACACAGUACUCAAGGUGGGGCCUCACCAGUGCUGAGUACAGGGGCAUGAUUACUUCCCUAGUCCUGCUCACCACACCAUUCCUGAUACAAACCAGGAUGCCAUUGGCCUGCUUGGCCACCUGGGCACACUGCUGGCUCAUAUUCAGCUGACUGUCCAACAGUACACCAAGGUCCCUGUCCAUCAGGCAGCUUUCCAGCCACUCCUCCCCAAGCCUGUAGGGUUGCCAGGGGUUGUUGUGACCAAAAUGCCGGACCUGACACUUGGCCCUAUUGAAACUCAUACAGUUAACCUUGGCCCAUCAAUCCAGUCUAUCCAUGUCCCUCCGUAGUGCCCUUCUCCCCUCAGGCAGAUCAACACUCCCUCCCUGCUCGGUGUCGUCUGCAAACUUACUGAGCGUGCACUCAAUCCCCUCAUCAAGAUCAUCAAUGAAGAUGUUAAACAGAAGCGGUCACAGCACUGAACCUUGGGGGACACCGCUCGUGACCAGCCACCAACUGGAUUUAACUCCAUUGACCACAACUCUUUGGGCCUGGCCAUCCAGCCACAGCUUCUCCCAGCGGAGUGUACACCCAUCCAGACUGUGGGCAGCCAGCUUCUCCACGAGAAUGUUAUGGCGGACAGCGUCAAAGGCCUUACUGAAGUCCAGGUAGACCACAUUGACAGCCUGACCCUCAUCCACUAAGCGGGUCACCUUGUCAUAGAAUGAAAUCAGGUUUGUCAGACAGGAUCUACCAUUCAUAAACCCACGCUGACUGGGCCUGACCCCCUGGUUGACCUUUAACUGGUCCAUGAUGGCUCCUGAGAUUAUCUGUUCCAUAACCUUCCCAGGCACCGAGGUGAGACUGAUAGAUCUGUAGCUAUCAGGAUCAUCUUUCCAGCCCUUUGUGAAGAUGG
ensembl:lncRNA